CCAGCCCCAUUCCGGAACAACACAGCCACCAAACCUGUCGUGGCCCUCCUCGGAUCGCGAGCUGCAACCUCCACCUACCAAAUCACCCGACCCAAUCCACAACCACCUCCAAUUCCCCCUCUAGACCGUCAGAUCUGUUAUCCAAAGACCAGGCUCUCUCCAGUUUCCCAUGCCUCCACCUCCCGCAGUGCUCGCUUCGGAUCGGAUCGAGGCGGCUGCCUUUCGCUUGUGUUUCCGCGGGGCCCGAGGUCCCUCGUCGCCGAAGGCCGCAGCCAUUCGCGGUGACCAGCCAGACCCCCAGGAGCUGCGCUCGCGCCCGUGUAGCCGCUGUCAACCCAAGCCGCAGCGCCAUGCCUCUCCCUCGCGCUCGACCUGGCAGCCAUGCGCCAACCACUUGAGCUACGUCGGCCCGCCUUACUGGACCCCGUCGGCCGCCGUGCCAACAGGUCUCCGCUGCCUGAAGCCCCGCACGUCACCGUGUGCCCCAGCUCUCCCUUCUCUUUCUAAUCUUCCUCCCUGGCUUUUUCUGACGCGACUCUCUCUCUAUCUCGUGUAUGCAUAACGCGAGGAUGCCAUGGAGCGACGCCGUCGUCGUUAACCUGUCGGAUCUCGCCUCCGUUCCGUCCCUGACAUUGUCUAAGCGGCAUCUGCAUCAUUCCUGUUGUCUGAAUCGCCGUGCCAAGUCCCGUGUUGCUGUCUCCUACCUCGCCCCUUCUUGGAUCCAGAUGUAGCGGGCUCAGCGCAUUGACUCGCCUGCAUCAACCGCGAGCAUCAGCUAGGCCUCCCAGCCAACGACAAACCUCCUUCCGCACGCUCACCGGCGUACUGGAGCUGUAGCAGCCGCUAUGUGCUCCUCUCAGCAGCAGAGCCUCCGUCAUGCCAUGAUUUAAGAUCGACCUUUUGUAGAGUUCCGCAAGCGUGUUGGAAUGUGAGGAUCCGUUUGACUACGUUGGUUUGUCUGCUUCAUGGAUUCGUUCUUCUUCCGAGCAGGAUCUUAGAAACAAUUCAUUGUCCCAUCUGGGAAUAUGCAAUGGUGCAAAUCUUGAGUUUUCUGCAAGCCAGGUAAGAUGUUGACUGAGAACGGGAGCCGACCUUUCAUUUGGAAUUCCCUUUCCAUUAGUCUCCACAAUUAUCUCCCCCCAUGUAAUUCCAACAAAAUUUACCUCGGAAUUAACCUAUAAUAUGUCACACAUCUCCAUUUGACCCUGCAUGCAAAAUUAUCACACUUGCAUAUAACUAGACCCUAUACAACACACUAGAUGUGUGUUUGGAAAAGAAACUUGAGCUUACAAAUUAUUUUAAUUUGCCUAGUAGAAUCAGGAGGAUUUUUUGGUACUAGAUCAUCAAUCUCUGGAGGGCUUUCGAAAUUUUCUUCAUCUUGCUGUACACUUUCAGAAUCUUGCUCUGGGAUGUUUAGGCUUCGAAGCCGUCGAGGUAUCCUCGAGAUGAUAUCUAUACCAAACAAUGUUAAAUCACAUGUUAAGGUCAAGCAUAGAAGCAGAUGUCAAGGUCAUGCAUAGGAUUUCACAUAUUUCUUGGAACAAAACAGCCUUCCACACAAACCAAAGACUCAAAAUUACUGCAUUAUGUGUGUUGUUCAUUGGUUACUAUAAUUUGGUUUCAGACUUACAAUAGUGUUUAGUUUUAUAUGUGUGUCCAGUAUUCAUAUGUGUGUCCUAUGUUAAUUUGGUUUCAGAGUUACAUCAGUGUUUAGUUUCAGACUUACAGCAGUGUCUAGUACUGUGUGCAACCAAAGACUGUCAUGUUUUAUGCUCCAUCGUAAAUAGAAUGUGAGGUUAUUCAGCCAGUCUAUAUAAUACUACUUUUGUGUUUUACCAAAGACUGAGGGCAUACCAGGCUCUGAACAUGCUCUGCAGGAAUUGCAACCCUUUCUACUAGGUGCUCUACUACUCCCAAGCUUACAAGUAAAGGUAUUGUGUGGUGCCGUUUGACACAUAUUAAUAUCAAGAUAUCCUAUAGAAUGGCCACUAAAUAAGCAAUCAAGCAAUUCAACAAACACUUAGAGUGCAUUGCCUACAUGAAGGAAGGAAGGAAGGAGACGAAGGCAAAAAGGAUCAGGACUUGAGAUGCAUAUAAAUGAAGGAGCCCACUUCGGCUGAUCUAAUGGUAAACUGUAGGGCCUAUGGGAUUCAAGGAAUUACCUGCUUGGUAGAGGCUGAAGAUCGGAUGGAGGGGAUAGCUGCUUGCGGGAUGUGUACAAACAGAAUACACACGCAGCUUCGAGUGAAGGCCGAGACCUGCGUGGAUCUGGCUUUGUGAUGGUGCGCACGACGUCGAGAGGAGGAGCACGACUUCGAUACGAUGGGGCGAUGUACACUGCGUAGCUCCAAUUACCGAUCUCGUCGAUGGAGGAAACAAGGAACUGGCCGAGGCGGCGAUAGCGGCACAUGGCAGCACUUGAGGGUGAGGCUGCCACCGCGCUAGAUGCAGGAAUGGACAGCGCACGAGGUGGGGAUCAUGGCGCAGAGUGGAAUCAGAGGUUGUAGGUGGGGCAAGGGAAAAUCCGAGGAAAAUUGAGGAAUGCUGGAAGUAGCGCGCUAAAGAACUGUAGCGUCAAAAUUUUUGGGAGCGCUAAGUAAUUAAUUUUUGAGGUGUAUUUUUUAUUGCAUAAAUAAAUCCUUAUUAUUUGUUUUUUUAAAGAUCAAACUUUAUUGAGUAAUAUACUUAUCCAAGUAAUAUUGAUAUAGUUCGAUAAAAAUAAUAAAGGCAA